rnacentral:rRNA from 1 species
CUACGGGGGGCUGCAGUGGGGAAUAUUGCACAAUGGAGGAAACUCUGAUGCAGCAACGCCGCGUGGAGGAUGACACUUUUCGGAGCGUAAACUCCUUUUAUAUAGGAAGAAGAUGACGGUACUAUAUGAAUAAGCGCCGGCUAACUCCGUGCCAGCAGCCGCGGUAAUACGGAGGGCGCAAGCGUUACUCGGAAUCACUGGGCGUAAAGAGCGUGUAGGCGGAUUAAAAAGUCAGAAGUGAAAUCCUGUAGCUUAACUAUAGAACUGCUUCUGAAACCCUUAAUCUAGAAUAUGGGAGAGGUAGAUGGAAUUUCUGGUGUAGGGGUAAAAUCCGUAGAGAUCAGAAGGAAUACCGAUUGCGAAGGCGAUCUACUAGAACAUUAUUGACGCUGAGACGUGAAAGCGUGGGGAGCAAACAGGAUUAGAUACCCGCGUAGUC